rnacentral:lncRNA from 10 species
GUAGAUCAUUCUUGAAGGUCUUCAUGUUGAAUAGUAGACUGAGGAGGAGGAAGAGGAGGGGUUCGUCUUGUCUCAGAAGUGGCAGAGGUGGAAGAAAAUCCACAUCAGCCUGUGGUAGCUGUUCCUCUUGUUAUGCCAGUUUGUAGAAGGAAAGAGGAUGAGGUGUCUAUUGGAAGUGCCCCCUUGGCAAAGCAGCAAUCAUAUCAGGCCUCUGAAUAUGCCAGCAGCCCUGUAAAAACAAAAACGGUAACAGCUCCAUUCUUCCAGUCUCUCAGUCCUAAUACCUUGGAAUCAUCUUUGCUUUCUCUUGUACUAUACAUCUAAUCCAUCACUAUUCUCGUACUCAGAAUCCCGCCCAUUGUCAGUUCCUGUUAAAGCCAUGUUGAAUAUAUCUGAAAGCUGUAGAAGUCCUGAAGAAAGAAUGAAGGAAUUUAUUGGAAUUGUUUGGAAUGCAGUGAAGCAUCUCACACUACAGCUUGAAGUACA